UUGUGAGAAUCUGAGAGAAGCUGUGUUCGUGAGUUCAAACACAAUGACAAUCUUAACUCUUGACAUAAAAUAAGUACAAAAACAACACUUGAAACACAAUCAAAAUGUCAUAGAAACAAGUUAAAACAACACUUUCACCACUAAAACAAGCUGCAACCACAACUCUAUCUUAACAACUUAAUUUAGUUAGCUUUUAACCAAACUGACUUACUUUUAUUCUUCUGGUUGUGUAACUACACAACCAAGUCUUCUUCCUUUCUUGCUCUUCUUCUUCUUCUUCUUCUUUUUCUUCUUCUUCUUCUUCUUCCUCCAUUUCUUGCGCUCCAAGCUUCUUCUUCUUCUUUAUUCUUCUUCUACGUGACUCCUUGAUCACUUCUUCUUUUUGUGUGGCAAGCUUCCUUGCUUCCACUUCUUCUUCUCUUAGAGGAUUUAAUCAAGAUUCAAUCUCAACACUCAAUGUCAAAACAAUAGCCAAAGCUCCUCUGUGUAUUUCAGGAGCUAAUUCCAUUCAAAUUUCGCCUAAAUAGCACAAUCAAUUGAAAACAAAACUUUAAACAAAUUAGAAAAAUCACAUAACAAAGUGAAAGCAAAAGAGAACAAAACGAAAGGCAUAAGGUACACGAAUCACCAGGGAGAAGAUGAACAAUUAUAAACUUGAAAAUUUGAAGAACCCUAAUUUUAACUUUGGGACUCGCCAUACAGAUAUAAGGAAGAAGAAAAUCAUGUCGUUUUUUU
rnacentral:lncRNA from 1 species